AAAAAAAGGGGGCUUGGUAGACUCGGAGGAUGUAGUUUCUUUCAUUAAGGCUGAUCUGUGGAGUUUAGGGCAGCCUGGAAAGCAGUUGAUAUAGUAUAGGGAAAACCUGCUGUUUGUUGCAAUGAAGUAUCAAAUGAAAGGGUGGAGGAAAAUGUUGAAAUCACAAGUCCACACUUUCCCCUUCUCAAGGUAGAAUCUAUAGAAUAAGGAACACAUCCAGGCAGGUUGGAGACAUCUAAUUAAAAACAAAAUCUCUCCCAGCCCAGAAAACCUCUCCAUAAAGGUAGAAGAGGAAUAAAACAAUUUUUAUUACUGAAGAAGCAUUAAACCAGAAUGGGGUGUGUAUCACUGACAAUCCAUGAAGAGACUGCAAAGACAGAAAGAAAUCUCACUGUUUUAUAGAGCCUAGCAGAUAGCACCCUUCCCAGGCAUGGUGUCCAAAUAAACAAUAACUACUUCUCUGUAAGAGGACCUGACAACACCACCUGUCACACACAGGUCAUCCUGGGUUCACCUGGUAACUGAGGGAGCCAGCUGUGUUAGCUAAUUUGCUUUAUCUAAAGGGAAAAAAAAAUUUUCUCACAUCUUUAUGACAGGAGGUAGUUUUGGAGUGAGGCGCCAGCCAAAGUUAGGCUGCUAUCUAUCCUCUCACAGAAAUUAAGAGAUGGGGCACUUGAAAAAGACAUUCCUGGGUCAUAAAGCUGACAGAAGGCCUUAGCUUUUAAAAAGAUUUACGUAUUUUUCAAAGAAGCAGAGAAAGAAUUUACAAUAAGUUUUUUUUUUUUCUUUUUUUGUCUUUUUAGGGCUGCACCCAUGGCAUAUGGAAGUUCCCAGGCUAGGGGUUGAAUUGGAGCUGCAGCUGCCCACCUACGCCACAGCCACAGCAACAGCAAUGCCAGAUGCGAGUAGCAUCUGGGACCUAGGCCUCAGCUGGUGGCGACGCCAGAUCCUUAACCCGCUGAGUGAGGCCAGGGACCGAACCCACAUCCUCAUGGAUACUAGUUGGGUUCUUAACUCCCAGGGAUCGAACCUGCAACCUCAUGGUUCCCAGUCGGAUUUGUUUCUUCUGUGCCACGACGGUUAACUUCCUCAAGUCACUUUUUAUUAAAUUGCUAGAUACAUAUUGAGCAACUCUCUUCUCAGUACUCCUGUGGCUGCUCAAGGAGACACAAAAGAAACAAAGCUUCGUCUUGAGGUUGUUUACUCUGGCGAUGAGGAAAGAAUGGGGAAAAACAGCCAUUGAAUAACAUGAGGUCAUGCAGGUUUAUCUGCCCAAAUGACAGUAGUCAGUGUACAGGAAAAGCCAGGAGAAAAGAAAGCAGAGUUAAGAGAAGACAGUGAGGACAGGAAGAGCCACAGAACACAUCUCGGAGACUGGAUUUGAGCCAUGCACUGAAGGAUGCUAGUGGGUGGGUGAUGGAAAUGCAAACAGCAUAACGAAAGGUUGGGGUCACCUUGAAUAGAGCCUGAAUGGAGCAGAUUGAGAAAAGUUAAGGAAUUAAGAUCACAGACGCCUGACGCAGUGGAAGCCAAGUGUACUGUUGAAGAAGGAUAAUGAACAGACCUCCAAGAAACUGACUCGUAGAAAUGGACCAAUUCUCUGCAUGGACGUCUUUACCUCCAGUGGAAUUCAACAGCCAUGCGCUUAAAUAAUGGCUUCCUCCUUGUUACUUACUUCUCACCAAUUAUUUAGGUCUCACAAGAUUAUAACAAUCGUUUUUAAUGUCACUCUGCCAUUCCUUCCUUAUUCCAUCUCCACCUCUAUCCUUAGAGAAAAGGUCACCCCCACUGGUGGGUGAAAUUUAAAAAACUUGGGACCUUUAAACAAAAUGCAGUUUGACUGGGAGGAUGAGGGCUUCAAAAGAGACAAGAAUCAAAAUUGUGAUGGUUCAUUUUACAUGUUUGACUGACUGGCCUACAGGGUGUCAGAUAGGUGGUUAAAGAUUAUUUUAGGUGUUUCUGUGAUGGUGUUUGGGGUGAGGUUAUCAUUUUAGUAAGCAGAUUGAAUAAAGCUGAUGGCUCUUCCUCCUGCGGGUAAGUGUCACCCAAGCCAGGUAAAGGCCUGAGUAGAACAAAACAGCUCACUUCUUCCAAGUGAGAGAGAACUCCUCCUGCUUGGAGGCCUAUGCAUUUGAAUGGAGACAUUGUAUUUUUUUUUCCCCACCUUUAGUCUCAGACAGAAACCUUGGCUCUUGCUAGGUCUUGAGCCUGAGGCAUGUGGACAAGAACCACACCAUUGACUCUCCUGGGCCUCCAGCUCACUGACUCACCCUGAAGAAGUUGGGAUUUUUCAGCCUUCAAAAUCAUGUGAGCCAAUUCCUUAUAAUAAAUAAAUAUUAAUCUCUCUCUCACACACACCCAUACAUAUAUAUAUAGAGAGAAUAUAUUCCUAUAUUCUCUCUCUUUCUCAAGAUACGUAUGUCCUGUUGGUAUUUUUUGCUGGGCUUCAAGGCCCCUUUGGGGAGAUUGAACUCAAAGCCUCUGGCCAAGAAUUAUCAGACCCAUAUCAUUGCCUCAUCCACCUCAUUGGAAUGCCCCCUCCCCCACCUUCAGCAACCUGGUCUACUCCUUCCUACCCCCACUAGGAAAGGAAAGGUAUGUGGCCCACUCCUCACCCCACCCCUACAGAGCCCUUGUAAGCCCCCAACCAACCAGCACAUGUAUCAGAAGACUCCUCCUCUUUCCGCAACCAAUCGGCAGGUCAGCAGGUAUAUUGUAAGACCCCCCCUUUCUCCCUGCACAGGCAGUGUCCAUCUCACAUCUUAAUAAACUCCUCUUUCUUUUCACCUCCCUAUGCUGCAAAAUUCUUUUUUUCAACCCACUUACACAGACGAAGACAUUUCCUCCUGGAGAAUACCGACUAAAUCAGAAAUGCAUCCAAAACUGUUCCUUUUGCUUUUGUUUUGUUGGUCACCAAAGAGUUGAGAGCAGGGAAAGGGAGAGACUGCUGGAAAAGAAACUAUAACAUCAGAACUUAUAAAAGUAUCUGGGGGCCUCCCUUGGGCACAGAUUAGGGAAUGAAUCACCUAUUUACAUGGUGUGACAAAUCUCAGGGAGUCAGGAAAAUCUCCCAAGAUUCUUCCAGUUAAUGACUCCUCUGUCACCUUGGGCCCUAAGGGACGGAGGCUGGAGGGAGAAACACAGGUUGUACCACUAACAGCUGGGAAACCACCGCGUGUGACACAGCCUUCUGGGAGGAGUGACAAACACAACUGUGCACGGGGCGGGGCAGGUCAUGGAGGCCCUUGGACAUGAGACUAAGGACAUGUGCCUGUAAAAGUCACCAACAUGAAUACAACUUUCAGGGAAUGUUUGGUCUUCAACAGACACUGUGCUGAGGGUUCACAGUUCCAUUGUCUCACACAAUUCUCAUGAGAACUUGAGAAAUAAAACCUCACUGCUCCCAUUUCUCAGAUGAGAAAACAAAGAUCUAAUGAGGCUUAGUGCGAAGAUAUAGGUAAUGACAUUAGGGGUCUGAGCCUCUAAGAAUGUCCUGUAAGGAUUAAAUGCAUCAUCCGUGGAAAAGUGUAGAGCUGAGUGGCCUGUAAGAAGAACUCAGUAAAGAAAAAUUAGUUUCCACACUGACAUUCUCAUCACUGUUAUUCCUAUAUUCUUCCUCCAUUGCGAAUACUUUCUCAACCAAAUUUCUCUGGCUCUAGUCAGGCUAGGACGCUAAGAGAUUUCUUGGUAGAUGGCCUUUAAAUGCAAAGCUACCUGGAAGAGUACUUCUUAAAAUGUUUUCUGCCAGAGGAGUGAUGGGGAUUUGAGAGUCCUAGCUUGAGAAAGAAACAAUCACCGGUCGGAAACCUGAUUCAAAACUUCUCACCUGAGUGUUCCCUGAUGGCUUAGUGGGUUAAAUAUCCAACAUCAUCACUGCUCUGGCUGGGGUCACUGCUGUGGCACGAGUUCAAUCCCUGGCCUGGGGACUUCUGCAUGCCAUGAGCAUAGCCAAAACUAACCAACAAACCAACCAAUUGAACAAACAAAACCUCACCAGUUUCUCCCUGCCCUCCAUAGCUCUUUCCUGUUUCCCAUUUGCACACCUCUCCUGACUGCAGCAACGAAGCUCCAGGGCAUCCAUUUGUAACCCUCUUUUCUUUAAAGUUGUGCUCAUGGUGACACAGCUAUAGUGAGAAGCACAGGGACUGGCUCAGGUAAGCUACGAUCUGCUGCAGUCAUCAAAACCCAACUCUUCAUGCUGGAAAUAACAGCUUUAUCUCUUUGCUUUCAUUUGAUGUUGUUUUCAUUUGAGGAGCCAGGCUGAUGGAGAGCCACCACCCAGAGCAUUGACCAGACACAGACAGAAAAAGAGAAUGUAGCAUAGCCUCUAUAUCUUUUAAAGUGUCUUCCCAGUCAUGAAUGAUCAAAUUUCAUUUGGCAAAACAUGACACAGCCAUCCAACUUCAAGUGUGUGGGUGAGUGCAGUUCUAUCAAGUGGCCAGAAAGAGAGAGUAGGAAUAAUUAUGAACAAAUCUGAUGAAUACCAAAGAGAUAAUUUAUAUAAAAAUCAGGAUACCUUCGAGGGGCUGAAAGAAAUGCAAUUUAGGAGGGAAAUAUGAGCACACCUGAGAUAUGUUAAUACUCCUUUUCUUGACUGGUUGGUGAAUUUACAGAUAUGAGUGUUCUAUAAACAGUACAUACCUAUUUUCUUAGCUCCUUAUUUGUAUGCCGUAUGGCAUAAUAAAAGAUAAUAUAAAAUCUGCAAGAUCCCUUUACAACAUUUCCAUCAUACAUGGCAAUGCAGUUAUAGACAAUAUUUGGAAAGAUUUAAGAGAGAUUGUCAGCACUCUCAGAGGGAGGAGAGAUUGGGAGAGAUAAAAGGGAAAAUUUUCCAUUUUAUUUUAUAUCAUUCUGUUUACAUUUCUUUCUUUUCAUGUACAUGGGUUUGCUUAUAUCCUGAAAGGUUAAUUUAAAAAAAAAGUAUUAAUUGACAGAACACAGUAAACUAGCUAUAAUGGAAAAAAUAAGCAUCAUUAAUACAAUAAAAUAAAAUGAGGAAGCUUUUUGUACUAAAAAAAAAAAAA
rnacentral:lncRNA from 1 species